rnacentral:lncRNA from 1 species
AUGGCCAGAGAAAGAAGAUACUGCAAAAGAGGACAGAUCAUCUAGAGAGCAGGUUGCUCAGCAGGGUGGAGUCGCUGCCCUUCCCAUCCACGGACACCGAGUGCUCGCCCUUCUUCACCAGCAGGCAGACGUGGUGGCCCUGGAUGGAGCGGCUGUACAUGGAGGCGCAGGAGUCCACUCGCUCCACCAUAGAAAAGUGGUGGUGAAAACAUAUCUUUGCCAGAAGGUUCUGGAAGGACAUACUGAUGCCAUCGACUCUGACUGAGCUCAUGCUCAGGUCCCCAGACCCCAGCAGCUUGGCAAAGGCAUCACUGUAGCAGGUUCUGUGUCUUACCCUGGCAGUUCUGUGGGUCUCACAGUCAUGCAGCCUGAAGGAAUCGAUCUAUCGUCCAUCUCAUUAUUUUUAUUGGCUUCAUGAUUUCUCCCAGUAGAGGUGCACCAUAAUUCUAGAGAACAAUGUAAGUAUGCAUAGCCUUUAAUGCAGCAAUUCUGCUUCUCAGAACCUGUCUUCCAGAAACACUUAUGCUAGUGUAAAUUCCGUAUGUAGAUGAAUGUGUAUUAUAGGAUUGUGUGUCAACAGUGAAUUGUGAAGCAAAUCUGUUGAUUUGGAAUGUAACUGAAGAGUGAUGAAACC